GCCAAACGGCCAUGCUGCAGCACGCAUCGUUCUCCCUCCCUCCGUUUUUUCAGACCAAACGGAGCCGCUGCCCGCUGGAACUGUGGACACACUAACGGAGAUGUGUCGGUGUUACCGUGGAGGCAGAAACGGAGACGUUUCGGAAGGAGUUCCAGAAGAAGAUGAACACUAAACCUGUCUGAUAGAAGAAGUUCACGAGACAACAGGAUGACCUUCUUUAAUCCCCUCAUCAGGUAGAUCUACAAAACUGCAGCACCCUGAAAGAGAGCUCCAUGCAGCCUUGGCAACUUGAAACUGAUGAACUUUGUACAGUAGAGGAAAUGGGGGACCCAGGAAGAGGGGUGGAAGCCAGCAGCUGACCAGCAGUAGGGCUAGUUGAAGUGCUAGAGCUGUGGGGCCCAGGGACAGGUGUUGUAAUAAGUGGCUGACUGGCAGUAUCCCCAAUGCCGGUCUCCGCACUGGAAGAGGGGGGGUCGUGGGGCCCAGGGACAGGUGUGAGAAGAUGUGGCUGACCGGCAGUAUCUCUAAUGCCGGUCUCCAAACUGGAAGAGGCGGAGUCGUCGGGCCCAGGGACAGGUGUGAGAAGAUGUGGCUGACCGGCAGUAUCCCUAAUGCCGGUCUCCAAACUGGAAGAGGCGGAGUCGUCGGGCCCAGGGACAGGUGUGGGACAAAGUUGCUGACCGGCAGUAACCCUUAUGCUGGUGAAAGCGGAAGAGGGCCCGGGUUCUUAGUCAUCCAAAUCUUCCUCGGAGUUUUCUGACAUUUGCACUUCCAAGCUUGGCAUUUCCUCCUCUGUAAUGAAAUUACAUUUAAAUGUUAAAUUAAAACCCUGU